AGGUUCUUAGAGAUGGGAAGUGGGUUGAGGAGGAGGCAUCAGUCCUUGUCCCUGGUGAUAUAAUUAGCGUCAAGCUCGGUGACAUUAUUCCUGCUGAUGCUCGCCUCCUUGAAGGUGAUCCAUUAAAGAUCGAUCAAUCUGCUCUCACAGGCGAAUCACUUCCUGUCACUAAAGGCCCCGGUGACAGUGUGUAUUCGGGUUCAACAUGCAAACAGGGAGAAAUUGAAGCAGUUGUUAUUGCUACUGGUGUUCAUACAUUCUUUGGCAAAGCUGCUCAUCUUGUAGACUCCACGAAUCAAGUGGGUCACUUCCAAAAGGUCUUGACUGCUAUUGGAAAUUUCUGCAUAUGUUCCAUUGCUGUGGGCAUGAUUGUUGAGAUUAUUGUCAUGUACCCAAUCCAACAUCGGGCUUACCGACCAGGGAUUGACAAUCUCCUGGUUCUUCUCAUUGGAGGAAUUCCUAUCGCAAUGCCAACUGUUUUGUCGGUCACAAUGGCGAUUGGAUCACACCGUCUUUCUCAACAGGGAGCUAUCACUAAACGAAUGACUGCAAUAGAAGAAAUGGCUGGAAUGGACGUGCUCUGUAGCGACAAAACAGGAACACUGACCUUAAAUAAGCUUACUGUUGACAAGACUCUGAUAGAGGUUUUUGCCAAGGGAGUGGACAUGGAUACUGUCGUUCUCAUGGCAGCUCGAGCCUCUCGAGUUGAAAAUCAAGACGCAAUAGAUGCUGCUAUUGUAGGGAUGUUAAGUGAUCCAAAGGAGGCACGAG
rnacentral:misc_RNA from 1 species